rnacentral:rRNA from 1 species
GCAGCCGCCGCGGGAAUACAGAGGGUGCGAGCGUUAAUCGGAUUUACUGGGCGUAAAGCGUGCGUAGGCGGCUUUUUAAGUCGGAUGUGAAAUCCCUGAGCUUAACUUAGGAAUUGCAUUCGAUACUGGGAAGCUAGAGUAUGGGAGAGGAUGGUAGAAUUCCAGGUGUAGCGGUGAAAUGCGUAGAGAUCUGGAGGAAUACCGAUGGCGAAGGCAGCCAUCUGGCCUAAUACUGACGCUGAGGUACGAAAGCAUGGGGAGCAAACAGGAUUAGAUACCCCUGUAGUCCCUGUCUCUUAUAC